CCGUAUAUAGCGCAGGCAGGUAGCGCAUCUGCUUUGGGAGCAGAGGGUCGUAGGUUCGAAUCCUACUGUACGGACCA
rnacentral:tRNA from 2 species